UGCGGGGUGGAGCAGUGGCAGCUCGUCGGGCUCAUAACCCGAAGGUCCCAGGUUCGAGUCCUGGCCCCGCUACUA
rnacentral:tRNA from 1 species